rnacentral:rRNA from 1 species
GACGAACGCUGGCGGCGUGCUUAACACAUGCAAGUCGAACGGAAAGGCCCUGCUUUUGUGGGGUGCUCGAGUGGCGAACGGGUGAGUAACACGUGAGUAACCUGCCCUUGACUUUGGGAUAACUUCAGGAAACUGGGGCUAAUACCGGAUAGGAGCUCCUGCUGCAUGGUGGGGGUUGGAAAGUUUCGGCGGUUGGGGAUGGACUCGGGGCUUACCAGCUUGUUGGUGGGGUAGUGGCUUACCAAGGCUUUGACGGGUAGCCGGCCUGGGAGGGUGACCGGCCACAUUGGGACUGGGGUGCGGCCCAGACUCCUACGGGAGGCAGCGGUGGGGAAUAUUGCACAAUGGGCGGAAGCCUGAUGCAGCAACGCCGCGUGCGGGAUGACGGCCUUCGGGUUGUAAACCGCUUUCGCCUGUGACGAAGCGUGAGUGACGGUAAUGGGUAAAGAAGCACCGGCUAACUACGU